rnacentral:rRNA from 1 species
GCAUACUUGUGCGCCUUGUGCGCAUGAAAGCAGUAAUGCGCUUCGGGGAGGGGCCUGCGUCCCAUUAGCUAGUUGGUAGGGUAAAGCCUACCAAGGCGACGAUGGGUAGCUGGAUCGAGAGGUUGACCAGCCACACUGGGACUGAGAUACGGCCCAGACUCCGUACGGGAGGCAGCAGUAAGGAUCUUCCACAUGGACGAAAGUCUGAUGGAGCAACACCGCGUGCAGGAUGACGGCCUUAGGGUUGUAAACUGCUUUUAUAGAUGAAGAUUAUGACGGUAAUCUAUGAAUAAGGACCGGCUAACUACGUG